rnacentral:rRNA from 1 species
CACGUAGGGCGCAAGCGUUGUCCCGGAAUUAUUGGGCGUAAAGAGCUCGUAGGCGGUUCGGCAAGUCGGAUGUGAAAUCUCCACGCUUAACGUGGAGGGGCCAUUCGAAACUGCUGUGACUCGAGUCCGGUAGGGGAGUCGUGGAAUUCCCGGUGUAGCGGUGAAAUGCGCAGACUAUCGGGAGGAACACCAGUAGCGAAGGCGGCACU